UAAGUUAUAGUUUAUAAUAAAACAUAGUUUUGUCAUAACUAAAAAAAAUAACUUAA
rnacentral:tRNA from 1 species